UAUGAGCUUUAGAAUCAGUCAAGAGG
rnacentral:piRNA from 3 species